rnacentral:lncRNA from 12 species
GCCACAUCCCUAACUGUGGACAGUCAUUUGUGCUGCAACAGCCAUGAUCUUUUCAAAUAAAGCUUACAUUUUUAUUUUUUUAAAUUUUUUUUAAGCUUACAUUUUUAAAAGAAACUUUGAAAUUGGAUUUAUCCUAAAGCUUUCCAGAUAAUCCAGUUGCCCAGAUCUUGCAAUUAAUCAUGAAAAUAACAUGCAGAAAACGAAUAAAGCAUGUAGAUGAACGUGGAAACAUCAACUACCCAUCCUACACUAGCCUUGAUUUCAGAACUAAUGAUGGGAAAUACCUUGCUGAUGAAGACUGAUAAUAUCCAAUUCAGGUAUUUCCAUCAGAAAGACAAAGAUUCUCCAAAUCAGAUAUUAUCUACAUGAAGAAGGAGACGCUCAAACGACAAGCUCAGCUCCUGACUAAUUGCCACAAUAAGACAAUGUCUGCCUUUGCUGCUAGAGAGCUAAAUUGGCACACUAAUCAUUGGCAUGAUGUAUCACAUGGAUUUGGGAUACAACAUCAAGGGAUUGAUCCUACUGAGCCCAGCUCCAGAAAUCCAAGCUGUAGAUGUAGUUCUUGCAGUUCAUACCUCCCUUUUUCUCAACACAUGACUCCUGGCAGCACAUCAUUCCAAAAAGGCUGCCUAGGAAUCUGAAUGACAGAAGACACUGUUUUUUGGGUUCUAUCCCAUUAGGUGAGAGAAUCUAGAAAUUCUUGUAAGAUUUGGAAUUUUGAUUUCUAUCACUGUUUUAAAUAACAGUUAAGGAUUAUUUUUCUCUUUUAAACUAUUUCAUGGAUAUAUUAUACAAGAAAAAGGAGAUUUUGUUAUAUUUGCAUCUUAUAAGAACAUUGUAUUUAUUUAUAAAAAGCUAUUUAUUUUUUAACAUGCAUCUAUUGUAAUUAUUUUACCUUUACAUAAAACACAGAUUCUCUAAUAUUAGAUUAUUACUUUUGUACUCCCCAUCUUAGUUUGGUAAAACUGUCCCCCUUCUAGUCAGUCAUAACAGAAAAUUCUUUUAUCCUGCGCUAACACAGACUGCUGCCACAUUAGUGGUCAAGAAACCCCCAAGAACACCAGGGGUUUCAUAAAGUCAAGACAACUCUUUCUGUGUUAAAGGUUAACCUCUGGUCUUCAGGGCAUGCAUCAGAAUUAUCAAAAAAGGGUUAAUUGGAAACAGUGCCUAGAAUACAAUUCUGAAUAUCAUCCUCAUUUGGCAUAAAAUAGAGUUCUCUUAUUUCCUACCUAGUUUCAUUUUGAUUUUGAAAAAAGGAAAGAACAUUUCAACUAAUAAAGUGAUCAAAAGGCCACCUUCA